UAUAUAGGCCGUGGCUACUAUACUAUUAUGAGUAUUGGAGCCCUCGUACUCAUAAGUUGUUUUCGAUGAUGGAGCUUCCGAAUCGACGAUCCACUCUGUUAAAUAUGAUCUAGAGUAUUUGAAACUUCUAAAAAAUAAAUUUCGUAAAGUUUCGAAAUCAUAAUAAAGUCCAUCAAGUAGGUAUAAAAUGAACGGUCAAAAUCGAACGACGUCCUAAAAAAGGAUGAUCGGAUCCUUCAAUUCAAGAUCGGAGUUAUUGAUCUUUAUUUAGGUAGUGAAUAGAAUUUUCUAUCAAAAAUUCAACAAAUUCCGAUUCUUUUACACCGUUAAACUAGCAAGUAUCCCAUACCGGCCAUUAAAAAUUGUCAAAUUUGUGAGCUCUUGAUCGUAAGGUAAAUGAUGUCGAAAAAUUAUAAAAUUUGAUUUCUAGAAGUUUUAAAUGAUGUAAAUAACGUUUAACGGUAUGGAUCGUCGAUUCGGAAGUUCUAUCAUCGAAAACGAUUUAUGAGUACGAGAGCAAUCGUACUCAUAAUAUAUAUAUAUAUAUAUAUAUAUAUAUAUAUAGAGAGAGAGAGAGAGAGAGAGAGAGAGAGAGAGAGAGAGAGAGAGAGAGAGAGAGAGGAGCGCCGCUGUGCUCUCCGUGCUCCUGAGCCGUUUUCGAUGAUAGAAUUUUCGAAUCAACGAUCGGCUCCGUUAGACUUGAUCUACCGCAUUUGAAGUUUUUAGAAAAUAAUUUUUGCAAUUUUUUGAUAUCAUUUACCUAGCAAUCAAAAGGAUUCAAAAUCAAUAAUUUUUAACGGCUGAAAAUAAAAAUUUUAUAAAACGUGGUAAUAUAGCGCUAAAAUUUUUAAUCAGAAAUAUUGAUCUUAUUGUAGAUAGUAUAAAGAAUUUUGUAUCAAAAUUUCAUCUGAUUUGAAUACUUCUACACCGUUAAACUUGAAAACGACAAAUAUCAAUCAGUAAAAAUUAUUGAUUUUGAACCCUUUCGAUCACUACGUAAAUGAUAUCAAAAAAUCGCAAAAUUUAUUUUCUAGAAACUUCAAAUAUGCUAAAUCAAUUCUAACGGAGCCGAUCGUCGAUUCGAAAAUUUCAUCAUCGAAAACGGCUUAGGAGCACGGAGGCCUCCGUGCUUCUGAGAGCACAGCAGUCCUACUCUCUCUCUCUCUCUCUCUCUCUCUCUCUCUCUCUCUCUCUCUCUCUCUCUCUCUAUAUAUAUAUAUAUAUAUAUAUAUAUAUGCAAGAUGUUGUGAUAUGGUGGACCACUGCUUAUUAAGUCCCCUAAUAACUAGGAUUUUCAACGCCCCACCGAGUAGGAGCGAAACUCUCUAGCGUGAAGGUCAUUGUCGAAUUAAUAUUUUUCAAUAUAUUUUUUAAAUUUAAUUUUAUGAAAUUAAUUUUUAAAUUCAGGAAACAGUAGUAGUUUAUUUGAUAUGAACACAUUGUAAGAAAAGGAAUAUAUAUGUGUUAUUAUGCUUUUAUUUCUUAUAAAGAAUCUUUUUUUUCAUGAAAAAUAUCGAAUUCUUUUCUUACGCCUUUAUGCCUUUGUACGUAGUAUAUUAUUUUUUUUCUAAAAAAAGACGAAAGGAGAGGCGUAGAAAAGUCUUUGGAAUAUUCUUCGGCAAAUACAAAUCUAUCUAUCUUUGUUCUUUAACUACAUUAAAAGAGGGUUUGGGGACCUAAGGAUGGCACGUGCCCCCACCCUCUCUCUCUUUCUAUAUAUAUAUAUAUAUAUAUAGAGUUAGGCUGGUAUGCUAUCGGUAGCACGAAGGUCUCUGUGCUAUCAAAUUAUUUUUAAUGAUGUGGCUCUCAAAUCGACGAUCGGUUCCGUUAGACUUGAUCUAUAUUAUCAAAAGUAUUUGGAAAAUAAAUUUCAUAUUUUUUCGAUAUCAUUUGGCUAGUGAUCAAAAGGUCUCAAAAUUAACAAUUUUAACGGUAGAUGUGAUGCAUUUGUGAAUUUAACGGUAUAAAACAAUUCAAAUCUGAUGAAAUUUUUAUAGAAAAUUCUUUUCACUAUUUAGAGUAAGAUCAGUACCUCUGAUCUUAAAUUCAAGUCUUUUAUUAUUAUUUUCUAUGAGAUUUUUAUUUUCAGUCGUUUAUUUUUAGACUACUCGUUUGAUGAGUAAAUGAUGCCGAAAAAUAAUGAAAUUUAAUUUUCAAAUACUUUAAAUAUUUUAGAUCAAGUCUAACGGAGCCGAUUGUCGGUUUGGAAGCCGCAUCAUUGAAAACAACUUGGUAGCACAAAGGUCUCCGUACUACCGAUAGUAUACCAGCCUAGCUCUAUAUAUAAUUGAGCUCCUAUACUUUUAAAAGUCCCAAGUUGUUGGUGCUUGUAGAUUUUUGACCAUUAGAUUAAGGGAUGUACGGUUAGGAUGAUAUAGCCCCCCUAGGGUUGAGUGGGUGAUUGGUUCAAUAGUAUAAUCUAACGGUGAAAAUGAUAAAAUGUGUAGAUUUAACGGUAAAAAAUUUAUAACAUAUUUUUUAAGAAUUCUCUCUCUCACUCUUUCUCUCUCUCUCUCUCUCUCCUCCGUGCGUAAAAUUAUAUUUCGUAUAUAGUAGUGAAUCUAGUAGUGAAUCGAUUAUAACGUAUUUUUUAUGAUAUUAGCUAAAAAUAAAGAAGCAUAUUUCUAUGUAAUUUCGUCUCCCGUCCGUUUUACCUAUUACUGUUAGAUAAAGCUUUACUGCCAGACAAUACAUAUCUCAUAUUUGGCCCCAUAAAUUUUUUUAAAGUAUUUUUAAAUAUGAUUAUAUAUAAUUAGAUAUGUUGAUAGAGGGGCAUUUCAAUUUUUAUUAUGGUUGAUUAUGUAGACAAUAAUAACUAGAUGGAUCUAAAUCACCAAUCCAAAAUAUUUAAGUCUAGUUAUUAUUAAUUUCUAUGGUGGAGGCGUCUUAUGAUCAGAUUAAGAAUGAUAUUUAACUCUAAUAUCAAUUAUAACAAUCCGGCCUGCUAACAAUAAUAACUCGAUGGGCUCAAAUCACCAGUCCAAAAUACUUAAAUUCAGUUAUUAUUACUAUGAUGGAUGUCUCACAUAUUCCAAUUAGAAUCAAUUUUCUAUCAUAUGUGGGACAAUUGGGAUGUUAUUAUUGCUAGUAGACUGGAUCGUUACAAUUGGUAUCAUAGCGAAAUACCGACAGAAAGUGUGAAAAUUAAGUGCUAUGCGGGGCAAAAUGCUAUACUACGGGUUUGUAGAAGCCACCUCUUGAACCGGCAGAGUCACUUAUAGAAUCUUACAUCAUCGGUAUUUUUGGUCUAUAUAUUUGUGAUCCGAUUUGGAUCUGACGAGAACGUAAGUAUCUAAACGGGGAGAGUCUAACACCACAAUAGUCUCAUAUAGGAUGGAAAAAAAAUUCUUAUUUCCAAUAUAUAAGGCCUUACGUCCUAAUAAUAAUAAUUGGGCUUAAAUAUUUUGGAUCUAUUAUUUGGAUCUAAUCUAACGAAUUAUUAUUGUUAUCAGGUUGGAUCCGAGUUAUAAUUGUUAGUAGGUUGGAUCGUUGUACUAACAAAAAUAAAAAAUAUAAUAAUGCCAAGCAAGGCCUUAAGGUUAAAUUAUUUACUUUCGAAUAUCCAUCAGCUUUCUCAUAAGGGCAACUUUGUGUUCAAUAGUUAAAUACUAGUGAAAUAUCCGCGCGAUACUAUAGAUAUAAAAAGAUUUUUAUAAUAAAUUUUAUUUUUUUUAAUAUUUUUAUAUAGUUUUAUAAAUUUAAUUAUUAAUUAAAUAAAAAUUAUAUAAAAAUAAUUUAAUAGUUAAAUCUAUUUAAAUAAAAGUCAUUAAAAUUAAUAUAUGCGCAAAGUAAAUUUAUACAAUAAUUUAUUUUAUAAAAAUUUAUAUGAAAAAAGAUUUGAGAUAAAUCUAUCAAAAUAAUUUAAAAAAAUCAAUAAAUAGAAGAAAAUUAAAAUUGUAGAAGAUAUUGUUUAAUAAAAUUAAUUAUAUAUACACACAUACACUAUAUUUCUAAAAUUUUACUUCUGAAAUUUAAAUUCUGUAUUUUUUUUUUAUACAAUGAA
rnacentral:lncRNA from 1 species